ensembl:lncRNA
CCCUGUUGCAUGAAUUCAGUGUAACUCGCCUAGUUUCUUGAAAAGGUGCAAUUAAUAUGUUGUUACUGUAAUUACUGCAUUUUGUACCUUAAAAUAAACUAGGUCUGUAGGCCUACAAUACAGAGGCCUGCUGUCCUGAAGCAGCCAGUUCCCCACCCAUGAGUCAGGAUGAGGUUAACCCUUUCGAGUCGAUUAACGCAUAUAUGCGUUUUGAGUCAUUUUCACCUGAUAACCCCGAAAAGAACUUAAAUUACACUCUCAGUUUUAAUCGUACAGAUAAGAGCAAUACAUCAAUCGAAUCUGUAAAGGGUCUAGUUUUUUUUGGAUACAGACAUAAUAACAAAAAACCUUUGUGCACUUAUAAAAUAAAGAUAACAAACAAGGUGCGCUGUCUACAGUCUUUGUCUCCGCUGAUCGUCAUGUACAAACAUUUCAUUAAAAUGAACUGUAACUCCGUGAAUACUCAACAAAGAGACAUGAGAGAGAUAUCUAUAGAAAGCCUGAAAUGUCUACUUUUAAACUAAACAAGUGCUGCCGAAAACAAAUAUUCUGAGAUAAAGUAAUCCAUAUGAAAACAACGCGAUGUCUAUUUUUCAUAUCUCCGCUCAUUAUAUUUAAUGUGACCACGCCCCCGCGCUGAACGCUCUAUUCAGAUUCAAACUGAAGCGCGCGGCUUGAAUACGCCCACACAGAAGAAAAAGCAGCAAGACUGUUCUUCAAGUUUUUAUUUUAUUUUACUGUUUGCUUCGCGAUGAGAGGACUAAGACAUAAUUCACCCCAAAAAGAUGUGAUGUGGUUGAGGAUUUGAGAAAUGGAUUUCCUCAGAAAAAAGAAUGAAGCACUUUAUUCAGCAGAGAUCAUAAACAGAGCCUGCGCCGCGGAUGAGGAAGAAUGGGCAAGACAAACAGCCUGGUGAGAAAGGCUCGAAGGAGAUUAAGCAAAGAGAGGAAACGGGGGUCAGCAAAGGAAAGGAGGGGUGCCGAAAGGAGGACAAUGACGCAAAAAGCACGAGGAAGGAAAGAGAUGCCAGACUUCUCCAAUUAUUAAGGCUACUUAAGCCCUGCAAGCUUGAAUUCAGGUGCAAUCUACAACCGAUGGACAGAAUCGGGUCUCCACCUUACAUUCUUUUUGAUAAUCAGUUUCACUCAGAGAUCGUAUCGUCUGAUUGUUGCCUAAUGAAUAGGCCAUGUCUGAGUGCAAAGAUCCUGCUGUACCCUAAGACGGAUCGAACACCUGGACCUAAAAGAAAGAUAUAACAUCAGUGUCAUCACAGCCUGCGAUUGUAUAGCCAAGCCAUCUGCAUUACGUUUAAAGUGUGCUGUUUUCAAAAGUCUGGUUAAUGUGAAUAAAAUAUACUGACGUUUUUUGGUUCAUGUGUGUCUGUGCACGCACACGUGUGAGUGGCUGUAACACUCAGCAGCUAUGUGCAGCAGAGUACAACAAAGCCACUACAUCACUGUAAUUAGUUUUGUCAUUCUCUCUCUCUCACUCAGUCACCAGCUCUAAUGUAACACAGAGCUCAGGCCAGGCCAGCAAGGCCAUUAAUGAGUCACACUGACACAGCCUCCAGGACCCCAGUGCUUUUUACUGUCUAUCCGCAUCCAUGACAUCAAUUAAUCACUCGUUAAUCCUACCCCCUACACCGGCCUUACAGAAAGGGGGAAGGAGGCUGUGUAUGAUCUAAAUUUUACUCAUGCAAAAAAGCAGAACGGUUGACAGAGCUUAAAACAGACUUAUAAUGAGAUAUAAGCUAUAUAUAUAUAUAUAUUUCAUUGGAAAUGGAUUGGAUUCCUUGAAUUGUGAAGUUAUAUAUACAUACAUACAUACAUACAUACAUACAUUUUUUCAUUGAAAAUUUAUCUCAUUAUAGAAAUAAAAUAGGGCUAGGACAGGUUUUCACAUUGACUUGAACUAGGAAAAAACUGUUUAAACUUAGACCCAGUGUAACCCACUGCAAAUUUGAUUGUUAAUUAUGCACUUUAGAAACAAGACAGAUAAGCAAAGAACAUGUCCUUAAAAGGGGUUGUGUGGUGUUUAUUGUUCAGUGUGUACAUCAGCUCGUCUUCUCCUCCACAGGGAGUGACUGAGGGGGUGCAGGUGCUGGAUGGACUAAUGUUGCACUAACAGGUGUUUCAGAAGCCUUGGCCAUGUAUGGGAAGAGUCGUCCACUGUGAAUGUUUUGUUUAUCCUCUGCCUCUCUCUCUCACUCACUCUCUCUCCCAUGAUAAAUGACACACUUUCUUUGGGCUGACUUUUCACAGCACUGGAAUCUUUCAAAGCCGUUAGUCUCUGGCAUUUUGUUUCCCCAACCAAAAAGAUUUAUAAAAUAAAAUAGAGAAGUAAAAAACAUGUAUCUCAUCAACAACAACUCAUAAUUUAUUAUUACUUAACAUAAUUUUGUUCCCCACAUUUUAGAAUAAUAGUGAAGUCAUUCAUCUAUGAUAUAACAUAAAUGGAAGUAUGUGAAUUAUGC